GUUUAUUCCCCAUGUUAUGUACAUUUGCAAAGAGGCAUUUAAGCUGCCCUCCCAGUGAAGCUAACGUGCUGGUUGAAGUGGCUGCAGUUCCUUUGUGCUGCUCUUCAGGUGCUCUCCUGCUGACCUGUGACCCCCUUUCCAGGCUCUGGCUACUGGUAUUUCAUCUUUAGUGACCUGACCAAGUAAUAACAUGAUCUCUCUUCUGAGACUGAAAUCACUGACAACUGAGGUUACUUGGUAACAGGUUCCUGCUUUGAUUCUGAUUCUGUAGCUUUUUAUAAUCUGGAUCACCACAUCAGUUCUGGAUAAGGGAAAAGAAAGCCUCUGCAAUCACUUGCACCAGUCUCACACUCUAUUGACCUUCAUCCAGAAGAACCUGGCAACCCUGGUUCUCCUCUCUGGAGGUUUGUAUUUCAGCUGUGAAGUUGGUGCUUCAUAGCUCAUGUCCUGCUGAAGACACCACCAGCAUAUUAGAUAAUUGUUGCCAUAUGAUCCUAAUUGUUGAGUGUGGAGGUUACCCCUUUCACCUGCUCCUGAUAAUAGCUCUGGACAAGAAACUUCAAUGAUUGUUUUGGUCAAGAAAGUGGUCUUUGGGAUCCCUGAUAAUUCAUUAAUCUCUGCAGAACUAAGUGCAUUUUAAGUACUCUAAAAUACAAAGAAGAAAAAAAGGAACCAAAACCAAAACCAGACAGUGGCAUCCUUAUGUAUUCUGUGGCUUUGGAAAUCAGGGCACUUAUUUAACUGCUAACCGUAAGCACCCACAUUUGAAGACACAGGUCAUAACUUGAUAAGAAAAGUGACACAAAUCUCUUUUGCUAGAGUUAUGUGCUAGGCAAGCAGUACACCUCCAAAUUAAGCCAUCUGCUUAAAUAAUCCCUCCAUGGACUGUCUCUCUACACAUGCUUGUGUGAUCCCACUGAGGGCAAUGAGCUUUCAUAGGUGUCACAAAUCAGUGUUUGUCCCUGUGAGCCACCCAAAUUUAAAAGCUCUCUGUCCUGGCCUGCAUUCUGGUUCACAACAAUAGUAGAGUUUCCUGAUGUUCUGGGACUUGUUAGAUGUUGUUGUCAUUUUCUCCUCAUUUUGUUACUUUCUGAGGAAAUGCAUUACAAAUAAAGCUACAAAUAAUAUUCAGGUUGUGGCACCUUGGAGAGAGCUUUCACAAAGCAUCACGGAGGAAAUAAACACACGCAAAACCUGUGAAGAAAAUACAGUAGGUUGUACAUACACUUCUCCCACUCAUUGUUUGCAAAUUGCGCCAUUUGUGUCAGUGCUUGUAGGCAGCCCUAGAAAACAAGGCACUGCUUCGCUGUGAAACCUAGCCUUGGGACCGAAGCUACCGAAGAGCUUGUGACUCUACUUCCUCUCCUUGGCUUUACUUAUAAACCCCUCCUUGUUGGAGAGUGCAAUUCUACCACCAUCCACUUAACCUAGGCCUUCACAACAGUUUUAUGCAAACUUU